rnacentral:lncRNA from 1 species
UACUCCCCAAGACCAAGGAUCAUAUAAAGUUCAUUACAAUAUUCAAAUGGUAGCAAUCAAAACAUAGUUGUAAGAUCACAUAACAAGAUUAAUUUAACAAUCAUUACAACUUUCAAAUGGUGCAGAAAGCACAAGUGCACAACUCAGUAUUAGUUUAGUACUAAACAACUAAGGCCACUCAAAAACAGAUUUCUUGAUCACUCAAACACGUAAAGAUCAAUUUUUUAUCGUAUAAUCUCAAACAAGACGAGAAUAAAUAAUGAGAAUCCGAAUAUUACCGGGUAAAUCCGCAAUCCGGGGCUCCGAAUAGUGGCCAUUACAGAUGACCACCGCAUCAUACACCUGGUCAUCCCCAUCUCCGCCGCCCUUUCUCAUCGACUUCACCACCCAGCGCCGAUUAUCCGCGGCCUUCCCGACAUGGCACACCUCCCUCCCAAACCUGACCAUCUCCGCCAGCCCAAACUCCUCCGCGAAAUCCCUCAAAUACUCCAACACCUCCUCGUGACCCGGGAACCUCCUCGGGUCUUGCCCUGGCUUCCCGCUCGCCACAAACGGGUAGACCCGGAAGCCCAUCACCUCGCGGGGCAGGUUGGUCCGGAGCGAAGCGUAGACGCUGGAUUGGACCACGUUCCGGGUCGGAUCGAGGCCUAACGGGUCGGCCUCUGUUUGGGGGGUGUAGGCCCAUGUGCCGCCUAAAUUGUCUUCCCGCUCGUACACAACGACGUUGUGGCCUUCUCGUCGGAGUUCAAGGGCGGCGCAAAGCCCGGCGGCCCCGGCUCCGAUGACGGCGACGGCUCUGGAGAUGGCUGACGGCAUCGCGGGAAGAGGAAGUGGAAUGUCGGAGUCGGGUUGGGAAUAGGCAUUUGGCUUAUUGUUCAGUGCAUCAUUCAUAUUUGUGGAAUAAAUAAUUGAUAAUAAAAUUUGACGUUUGACGCAUGUAAAAAUUUGGUUGUGGGCCAUGGAUGGAGAUAAAAUGAUAAAUAGUGUUUGAGAGUGGAUAGGACUUUUUUUUUUGGCUUGAAGACCAUAAGAACUGUGCAUUUCAAAAUUCAAACCACCGGUAAAAAUGAGUCUCCUAUCGACGUUCACUUGUAUCCAUCUACAAUCCCACGGCCGGAACAUAUCUUGUGAGACCUCGAUGGGAAGAUGGUGUGGUUGGAGAGUAGUUUUACCUGCGUCCCGCCUUGACUUAUGUGACUCUGCUGCUUGAGAACUAACUUUUGGUUAUGCUUGUGGCGGUUAUUUUCCUCACUUUCAGGUGUCUUUUGGUGUGUGGUUGUGCUUGUUUGUGUUUUUUUGUGUUUUUCUUCCAGCUUGCUCUUCGGUGAUUUGUUGUUGCAGGUGGCUGCUGGAUCCUGGUUCGUGAUGUUGCACUGGCCCGUCCUUCACGCGGUCCUCGCUGUGCGCUGGUCCCUGCUCCGCCCGUGUUUCUCCCAUUGGGCUGUUGGAGGGCUUUCCCUCUCUGGGUUUCUUUUUCGCGUUUUCGUUGUUUCUGGUUUGUGUGAGCCAGGCCUCCUAGGGGCGAUGGUUCGGCCGGAGCCUCUGAGGUGGCUCAUUUCCCGCUCACCGCCAGUUCCUUUUCUUUCUCUUUUCUGUUUUCGUCUUUCUUUUAGACAGGCACUCUUUUUUCUCUUUAAGGGUUCUUUUUCCUUAAAGAGGUUUUAAUGAGGUCCGACCCUCAGUUGCGCUUGUGCUCUCAUGGGUUUAGGCUUUCUGUUUUCGUUCUUUUUUAAUAAAAUUUAUAUUUCAGCAGUAUCCAUAUACAAUCCUAACGAGCGAUAAGUUGUGCAAUUGUACCCUCGCAUUAGACGGUGAGUUUUUUUUUUAGGGAACAACAGAAGGAGAGUUGACAACAAUUUUUUUUUUAGUUUUGUGUGGGACCCACCCGAAAUAUUAUAACGGGAGAUAAAGCGUUUCUUUCAUUAAUUUCUGCUUCUUUCCUCCUUCACAUUAAUGUCUUAAGACGACGAAUCUUUACUGCUCCACUAUGUGGAUCUCGGAUGAGCUACGAUUUCGAACAUGGAUAUCUUGUCAUUGGAUUCAAACCCUAGUUUUCGUCAAUUAGAAUCCGCUUGGUUGAUUUCUCUGACCUUGCUCUCCAACUCUCUCUUCCUCUCAAUCUUCUCCUUGAUGCUCGUGAUCGCCUUCGCCAAUUUCCCCUCCAUCGACGACGAGAACCUUGUGCUUGCCGCCGCGCCGUUGUUCAUCGUCUCCAAAUUGAGGAACAUGAUGUCGGAAGAGAUCACGUUGCUCCGCCGGUUCUUCAGAAUCUCAAGGAUCCGUGGCGGCUCUCCUCUCUCUCAUCGUAGAGCUCUAGAUUGGUAUCCUGGCACCCUAACUCGGGCGGGAGUGAAUUACAUAAGAAUCUCAAACUAGUGGAAAACUGCAGCUGUGAGAGGUCGUCAGUGCUGACCUUGUGGCGGUAGAGGGGUCAAGUGGAAUGUUUCUCGAGCCACUAAUCGAUGCAGUCGAUGUGGAAGGCGUGCACCAUGGCAGAACUUGGCGUAGAGGAGGAGGACGAAGGUGAUGGAGAACAUGAUGGCGAGCAUGCCAAUCAUGAUAGCGAGGCUUGGCUGGAAAUUGCUGAUGGAGUUGGGUGAGUUAAGGUCGUUGGUUUGGAAUGGAGAAGAAGAUAAGGAGUAAUGGUGGGAUGAUUUUCAUGCUUGAUUAAAAAAAAAGGAAAAUGUGCAGAUUGGCCCCCGAAGUAGUAGCCCUUAUAGCGUAUAACCCCUCUUACUCACUGUGUGUGAAACUAAACCCCCAAACUUAAAAAAACCAUGCAAUUAGGCCCCUCUGACCAAACGGUGUUAACUGUUAAGUACCGUUAGUCAACCUUUUUUUUAAUUAUUUUUUAAUUAAAAUGUGGGACCCACUGUAACCUCAUCCCUCUUUCUGCUCUCUCUUUCACGCACACACAAACGGACCGCACAGCGGUGCUGCUGCCUCCAUCCAUUCCCAGCGAACGGCGUCGUUGCGGUCAUCGCCACCGUCUCCCUUUCUCUGCUCUCACCCUUCGCCUAUCACCCCUUAUCUAUCUCUCCUUCUGAUAAUAUCACCUUAAUCAAUAAUAUCACUUGUGUAGAUCGAUUCGAUUGAGAGAAAAAAAAUUAAAGCUGAAGUAAGGGUUGUGGUGCUGUUGGAUUUGGUGCAGAACUAUGGAUGCGCCGUCGAAAUCAAAUGAGGCGGCGGCCAUUUAGGCUGCUGGUUGGUCGAUCGACCGAGAUGAGGAAGGAGGGGCGGCGUUGGUCCGUUGAAAUUAUUGGUCGCGGCGGUACCGGUGUGGUCGGACGGCGAGAGAAUGAUGAAGAAGGAGACAAAAUAGUUUAGGAAGUUAAGAGCAGUGGGCGGUGGUUGUGUUUUUUAAGAUGAGUGAGAGAAUUCAUAGGCUAGAGCGGUGGGCGGUGGUUGUGUCAAUUGAAUUGAAUCAACAGCACCGUCUCACCUUCUGUGCUCGGCGGCUGUUGCUGCUUCUGCUCGGCUGCUGUUGUUGCUGCCGUUCAGCUGUUGUGGUUACGUCGUGGAUGAGCGGCUGGUGGUGAUGGUGGUGGAUGGUGGCGGCGGCUGUGGAGUGGUCGAGAGAGAGAGAGCUGAGCGAGAAAGAUGAGAGUUGAGCAAGACUAAUGGUGGGCCCCACAUUUUAAUUAAAAAAUAAUUAAAAAAAGGUUGACUAACGGUAGUUAACGCCGUUUGGUCAGAGGGGCCUAAUUGCACGGUUUUUUUGAGUUCGAGGGUUUGGUUGCACACACAGUGAGUAAGAGGCGUUAUACGCUAUAGGGGCUACUACUUCGGGAGCCAAUCUGCACCUUUUUCCCAAAAAAAUAGUGGGGUGAAGGUUGGGGUUGAGGUGGGGGGAGGGGGAAUUAAAUAGCGAGUCCCACACGAAAUUAAAAUAUAUAUAUAUAUUACAAUUUUGAACGAUGUCAACUCUCCGUUUGACGCGAGGGAGCAAUUGCACACCUUAUUGUUCGUUAGGGUAGUAAAUGAGUACAACCUUUAUUGAAGGUUAUAAUUGCGAUAGGCGGUGAAGGUUGGGGAGGGGGUAAUUACUACUUUUUCUCUUUUUUUAAUUUACCAUUUCAAAAAAAAAAGAGAGAAAUAAAUAAAUAGAACCCAUAUCAGAUAUACCGAAGAAUUAAUAAUUUGAAAAGUUUUUGAUUAAAUAAUAAAAUUAUGACAUAGCAUUGGCUACCAAUGCCAACAUAAGAUUCUCAAUUACGGACCAAAAUCAAAGUUUUUGUUAAACUCCGAAAUUCGAAAUAUAAACUAGUUUACACUAAAUUGUAGAAUGUCAUAUUUAAUCUAUGGGUGAUUCUAUUCAUAACCCCCAUUUAACUCUCUAUAGCCCCUUAUUUAAAAUAAUUAUAAAUUUACAAUUUUAUCCUAUACCAUAACCGUGAAUCUCUUUAAAUCACUCAGUGAAAUUGUUUUUGGAUGACGUGAACCGAUCAGCAAACCUCGCAUGGCUACGCCCAACUCUUUAAUGAUUCAAACCUGAACCCUUCAUCUUUAUGUAUAAGCAACAAUUCACCAGCUUCAUAUAUUUUCGAUAUUUUUAAGAAAUUUGUUUUCUAGAUUGAAGCUACGGGAUCAUAUUGAUGAAGAAAAUGAUGGAAAGUGCUGCAGCUUGAAAAAAAAUACUCAAGAAAUUUGAACGUCUCAAGGAAAAGUUUGGAAGAAAAACUAAAUAUUCUUGAUAUAAUAGCUCUGAUUGUGAAGGUCGUGAAAGAAUGAGGAACGGGUCUAGAUCAAGCGAGGGCACAGAUUGGAUGAUUGAGGAGUGGUUGUAGUUGAAUUGAUUGUGGAGUUAUGUACGAAUGAGUGAUUGUGGUUAAAAAGAGAAAAUAUGGUCAUGUCCCAAAAUAAAAAUGAUAAUUUCUUAUGGGAGAGAUGAAAAUGAAAAAUAUGAUAUCUUCUUAUGGAACUGAGGGAGUACUAUUUUUCAAGGACAAAGAAAGUAUAUGUAAUUUAAAUACAUGUCAUCUUUAUGUGACUAUUAACACAACUUGGGUAAUAUUUGAUACAGACUUGAUAGUUCAGGUCUUUGAUUGAUAUUAUCAAUAGUUUGUGACAUAUUUGUGACUUAACCCAUGUUAACAUUAUUCUUUUUAUAUAUUUAUUUUGAUUUUAAUACCUCAAAAUUAUUAUUGGUGUUAUUGAUUUUAUAAAUUAUAUAAAACUCAAAUGCUCGACUUAUUUCAAAAGGGAGAUCUACCCUAUUUAUUCGAAGGACGGAAGUUAAUUAAGUUGAUGUAAAAUAUGACAAUAAACUGUAACAUAAUGGGUAAGACACUUCCUUUCUAAUUAGUAUGGAUGUUUGAAUGGAUAUCGGGUAUUAGUUAACCCAAUAACAGAACCGAAUCGAUUCAAAUUUGGUUAUCUAAUAACUGAUUUUUCGUUUAUCAGAUCGAUUUUUGGUUAGUAAUUUCAUAAUAAUUUUGGGUAUCGAUUAACCCGAUAUGAUUAUUGGGUUAACCGAAUAACCUAAUUUAAAUAAAUAUAUGAUAUAGUAUAUAUUUAUUUAAUUAUAAUUUAUAUUUUACUCCUAUAUAUAAUUCUAUAUUUCUAAUUUCUAAUUAUAGCUGCAAGGCAAGUCCUAACAUAACCCCUAAAUCUAAUUAUGAAGAAUCACGAUUCACGAACAAUGCAACUCACACACUCAUCUCUCUCUUGAACUCGGUUUCUGUUGUUGCACCGUCCGCUGUGCUGCCGCCCUCUAGUAACCAAUAGUGCGUUGUUGUCGUCCGUUGCAUCGUAGGCAGCAGCAGCAACUCAAGGUUAAAGUUGGUGCCCUCUAGCUACACCGCUACCACGUCGCCCAUCGUCGCCGGCCUCCCAGCGCCUAUUUCCACUCACAUCCCCACCGCGGUCCUACAACUGUUGUCGGCCCUUUCCCUUCUUGUCUCUAACAGUCCGCCCCAAACAUCAAUAUCCCUCACCCACUAAUUAUUUCAAGUGAUAAUCAAUUUUUAGGUAUGUCUAUAUGUUUCAAUCUCAGUUUGAAUACAAAUUGUUUUGAAAGAGUAAAUUUUAACAGAUAUACUUUAAUUGAUUCAAAACUUGCUGAAAUAGAAUUUUAUUGAGAAACACCUAGAAGAACUCAUUGCACCCACAUGUCGUAAGCUAAUGAGCCGAGCCUCGUUAAAAACUCUCCCGGGAAAAUCUCGAAGGGAAAAACCCCAUAGAGGGAAAAGAGCACUCGUCUAUUACAAAUGUAUACAAUAUAACACGAGCAGCAAGAUGAACAACCAAAAAGAGAGAACCAAAGGAGGCCGCAAGCCACCCACAGUAUCAAGCAAGCUGCCGAGGCCAAGAGCGGCACGAACUGCCCGGGCUUAGCUGACCAUCUGAAUGAAGAAAUGGUGUGCGACAUCCGCCCUAAACUAAGGCGGCGAUCUCCGGGAUGACAUGAUCCCACCAAGCUUCUAGCUGGACGUGUGAGGCAAGGUAAUCCGCCACUUGAUUGCCUUCCCGAUAAAUGUGGGAAACGCAAAUGCGGUGGUUGAAAAGCUUGCUGAAUUGCAAAUGGUUUUGGAAGAGUAAAUUUCAUUCUCUGCUAGUUUAGUCCCCAAUACUGUUUUGUUCAUUAUGGUUUUGGAAGAGUAAAUUUCAAAGAAUUUAAUUUUUUUCAGGUGUUCAGUUAUCCAAAUAACCGAGUCGGUUAUUGAGUAAUCGAACAUCCAUUCCGCUUCGGUAAUGGGUAUUGAAAUUUGGUGAUUUUUGGGUUUGGGUAAUCAGAAAUUUCGAUUCGGAUACCCGAAGUCGAAUCAUUCGACAUACCUACUAACUAGUGUUAGUUGGGAGUUUGAAAAUUGUGAGGUUGUGACUGCAAAGUCUAUACUUUCAAAGGACUAUCAUGUAAAUCAGAGAAGGACCAAGUAUAGGGCUGGGAAUCGGGUCGGGUUCGGGUACCCUACCCGAAAAAAUCGGGUACCCGAACCCGAAAAUACCCUAAACCCACUACCCAAUCCCGACCCCGAAAUUGAAAUCGGGUACCCUAAUACCCGAUAUUUUUUAAGCCAUUUCCCUAAAGUUUAGAAAUUCAGCAAGAAAACCAUCAAGUUCAAAUCAGCAAGAAAACCAGCAAACCUAGAUCNAUUCUUCGGCAUGUUGACAAUUUCACCACCUUGAUUUAUAAACAGAGCAAGAAAUUCAGCAAGAAAACCAGCAAGUUCAAAUCAUUUGUGACGUUGUCGAAAUUCAUACAGAUCAAGAAAAUCAUACAAAUCAAUUCUAAUUCAAUGAGACAAUGACCAAAUUCAAAGCAGCAAAUUCAACAUUAACAUAGAAAAUCUGUAUUUAAAAAAAAAAAAGAAGAAGAAGAAGAAGUGGGAGGCGCGGAGGGAUUCUCGAACUGGAAAUCUGGAAGUCCAGGAGUAGGAGGCGCGGCGCGGUGGGGGCGAUUCGACGGGAAUGGGACGGCUGACGAGGUGGGAGGUUCAGCUACGUCGGAGGCGGAGCGACUGGGCGCCGCUGUCGUCGGAGCUCGGAGGCGGAGCGACUGGGCGAGGGUCGCGGUGGGACUGGGAACGAGCUUCCCACUGGCGACGGUCGAGGAGAACGGCGGGCGGGCGAGGGGCGCCGCUGGGUCGCCGGAGACGGGAUUGGGAUUUGGGAUUUGGGAUUUGGGAAUUGAAAAUGAAUGGGAACAGUCGAACAGAACGAGCGUAAAAUGAAUGAGAGCAGCUUAAUUAAAUAGUAUAAAAUAUAUUUAAUAAACAAUUCGGGUAUUUCGGGUAUACCCGAUACCCGAUUUUUUCAUACCCUAAAUACCCGAUCCCGAACCCGAACCCGAUCCCGAAUUUUUCGGGUAUAGGGUACCCGAUACCCGAUUUUUUCGGGUCGGGUAUCGGGUACCCGAUUACCCGAUCCCGAAAUUCCCAGCCCUAACCAAGUAGCAAAAGUAACAUAACAGAAUUCAUUUUGUUAUUACUGUUUUAUUGAGCUUCUUGGUUUAGCAGCUGGUUUAUCAGCGGUUGGAUGAGCUAGUUUUCUGAGGGCUGUGAUUAGUUCUAAAGAUUGCUAUAUAGGCUUAUGUUUGGAGUUGGUUAGUAGAUUGAUGUAUCAGUGUAGAGAGAUUAGCGAGAGAGAAAAUAAGUGUGAGAGAAGAAGAGUUGAGAGCUUAGUUUUACUUUCUUUCUGCUCAUGUUUGUCUCAUCGGGAAAAAUUUUUGUAGUUCUUGUUUUCAAUCUCUGAAUAAAGUAGAAUAUGUUGACCCUCCGUGAAUGUAGGCAAGUUUUGCCGAACCACGUAAUUUUGGUGACUUGUUCAUUCGUUUUCAUUGCGUGAGUUUAGGGUUCUUGAGAGAAAUUUGGUAUUCUUCAAAUUCUGGUGUUAGCUGUGGUUUCUUGGCUUAUUCUGAGCCAAAGAUCCAACAAAAAUUACUACAAAGAGGAAAUAAAGAACUACUCCAUCCGUCCACAAAAAAAUAUCGUAAUUUAUUUUUAGUAUGGAUCAUUUUCUCCAUUUACUAACUUGUGGGCCUCUUUUUUCACUCACUAACUUGAUUAUUUUUUUUCUAUUUUUUUUAAUUUGUGAGCCCCUUUUUCCGCUCACUAAAUAAACAACACAAGUUUUAAGUGUGUCACCCUCCCUUAAGAUAUUUUUUCACGAACAGAGAAAGUAUUAUUUAAAUAAAUUACUAAUACAUUUGAAUUUGUGAAUUUAGAAUUUGUAAUUUAAAAUUGACGGUCCGAUUUGCCAUAAAUUUCCGGACCCCAAGAUGGCUAGCCGGAAAUUUAUUCUACCCUUGAUAAUGAUAUUCAUUAUGAGUCGCAAAACAAAUGAACUUCACACUGGAAUGAAAGUAUAACUGUAUAUCUACCAGAAUCUAUUAAGCUGUAUCUCAGAUCCCAACAAAUAUGAAACCAAGCAGUUACACCAAAUAGCUAGUGCGGUAAUAAUUGGAGAAAUGUGUUGAUGAGAAUUUGAAAGUAUGUUAUGAUACAGAUACCUUGAAUAGGUUUAAUUCUUGGUAAGCCAAUGCCAUCAAAUCUUGAUCAUCCCACUCAUCACGGUACGUCUCGGGCGCGCUCCUCUUCCUCCUCCCGCUCGCCCAAUACAUUUGCUUUCUCCAUUCUUCGAUGGGAGGAGAGCCGCUCUUCGCAGCCAACCAAUCAUCAUACUCAAACUGCACCACAAGAAGACAAGCUUAUGAUCAUUCUGUUUAAUUAAGAAAGGUAAUUAAAUAUUUACCUGAGAAUAAGAUUCUCCAAUUUUAUGAGUAUAUCGCUUAGGAAUCCCAGCUGCUUCCAACGACAAGUAGAAGGCUUGAAUAUCCGAUGUCAUUUGGUGAGUGGACUCGAGCGCAAUCCGUCCCGACAAAACUCCCGCUAUCCACUUGGUCUGGAGUUCAAAUAAGGGAAAGGGCAGAACCUUCCAUGGCACGCCAACAAAGGAAAGCCAAGGGGCCAAUGUCGGAGGAAAAACAUGCUUAUAAAGUGGGCCCACUCUAUUAUCGUCCACACUCACGGCAUUGUUCGUCUCAAGAAAAGGAAAACUAAAUUUAUACCUGCAAGAUGAUGCAUAAGCAGUGUUCAGAUAAGAUUGCAGGACUGACUUGUUUUAAUUUGAUAACCCACCCGGUGCAGUGAAGGAUGACAUCAGCAAUGGUUUUAUCUCCAUCAUGGAAAUUCACCCUACCCUCUCUGUCCACACUUUUGAUCUGCACAUGUUCUUAUGUCACCAUUCUCAAACAUAAACUUCAACGACUUAAAUCCAAACUAACCAUUGAAUGUUGCCAAAUGUUAUUAUGCCCCGGAAUUUUUCCAAUUUUGUUCAUUUGUGCUGAUCUAGAUGCAACAUGGACUUCUUUUGCGAAUUUGGCAAUAUCUCGGGAGAUAUCAUCAGCACUUGCAGCACUCCCGAUUAGCACUACAACCUGCAAAACUCACCAAAAAAUAGUUGGAAUUCAGGUAAAUGCAUACACACACAGAAUAUGCAUUACCAACUAGUGGAUGCACUUCAAGAAAAUAUGAAUGUGGUGUAAACCUCUAACUUGGAAUUCAACUUAAUUAUGAUGCUCGAGCAUGAAAUAUUUUCAUGUGUAGUAAUAAGGUCUAGAAUUAUAGUAUUAGUAUCAAGAAACUGAAAUGUGAAUCCCAAAUUGAUUGUACCAAAUAAAUAAAUAAAUAAAUUGAUUUGUACAAAAUAAAACAUUAAUCUUUGGUCUAGAACAUGCAAAUUUAAAAAUCAUCUCUAUGCAAAAACGGGACCAAAAAUAAGAGUAUGAUCUAGUUUUAAUAUAUUGUUCCCUAUCAAUUCAAUGCAGGAAAUUGCAGUAAACAGGCCAAAACUAAAAUGUAGUUUUAAAAGUUGAUAUGUAAACAAGCAUGAGGGGAAAAUAAUGCAGCAGACACAUACUUGAUCAUGAAAGGGAUCAGGAACGCGAUAGUUGUGACUAUGGAUCUGUUUCCCUGGCCACUCCUCAAUGCCUUGGAAAAUCAUUUCGACAAAUCAAUUCAUCAAAGAAUUCUGUUAAUUAACUUACUAGAAGCAUGUAAGAUUUGUGGAACAAGAAAGUAAUUGGACUGAAAGUUCUCUUUUCAAAAGCUUCAGAAGUGAAAGGAAUCCCAAACAAAUAAUCAUAAUCCGGAUGUUACCGGGUAAAUCCACAAUCCGGGGCUCCGAAUAGUGGCCAUUACAGAUGACCACCGCAUCAUACGCCUGGUCAUCCCCAUCUCCGCCGCCCUUCCUCUUCGACUUCACCACCCAGCGCCGGUCAUCUGCGGCCUUCCCGACGUGGCACACCUCCCUCCCAAACCUGACCAUCUCCGCCAGCUCAAACUCCUCCGCGAAAUCCCUCAAAUACUCCAACACCUCCUCGUGACCCGGGAACCUCCUCGGGUCCCGCCCGGGCUUCCCGCUCGCCACAAACGGGUAGACCCGGAAGCCCAUCACCUCGCGGGGUAGGUUGGUCCGGAGUGAAGCGUAGACGCUGGAGUGGACCACGUUCCGGGUCGGGUCGAGGCCUAACGGGUCAGCCUCUGUUUGGGGGGUGUAGGCCCAUGUGCCGCCUAGCUUGUCUUGCCGCUCGUACACAACGACGCUGUGACCUUCUC